rnacentral:rRNA from 1 species
UACGUAGGGUGCAAGCGUUGUCCGGAAUUAUUGGGCGUAAAGCGCGUGUAGGCGGUCCGGUAAGUCCGCUGUGAAAGUCGGGGGCUCAACCCUCGGAUGCCGGUGGAUACUGUCGGGCUUGAGUACGGAAGAGGCGAGUGGAAUUCCUGGUGUAGCGGUGAAAUGCGCAGAUAUCAGGAGGAACACCAAUUGCGAAGGCAGCUCGCUGGGACGUUACUGACGCUGAGACGCGAAAGCGUGGGGAGCAAACAGG